rnacentral:rRNA from 1 species
CCUACGGGUGGCAGCAGUCGAGAAUCAUUCACAAUGGGGGAAACCCUGAUGGUGCGACGCCGCGUGGGGGAAUGAAGGUCUUCGGAUUGUAAACCCCUGUCAUGUGGGAGCAAAUUAAAAAGAUCGUACCACACGAGGAAGAGACGGCUAACUCUGUGCCAGCAGCCGCGGUAAUACAGAGGUCUCAAGCGUUGUUCGGAAUCACUGGGCGUAAAGCGUGCGUAGGCUGUUUCGUAAGUCGUGUGUGAAAGGCGCGGGCUCAACCCGCGGACGGCACAUGAUACUGCGAGACUAGAGUAAUGGAGGGGGAACCGGAAUUCUCGGUGUAGCAGUGAAAUGCGUAGAUAUCGAGAGGAACACUCGUGGCGAAGGCGGGUUCCUGGACAUUAACUGACGCUGAGGCACGAAGGCCAGGGGAGCGAAAGGGAUUAGAUACCCUAGUAGUC